AUUGAACGCUGGCGGCAUGCCUUACACAUGCAAGUCGAACGGCAGCACGGGAGCAAUCCUGGUGGCGAGUAGCGAACGGGUGAGUAAUAUAUCGGAACGUGCCCAGUCGUGGGGGAUAACGCAGCGAAAGCUGUGCUAAUACCGCAUACGAUCUAAGGAUGAAAGCGGGGGAUCGCAAGACCUCGCGCGAUUGGAGCGGCCGAUAUCAGAUUAGCUAGUUGGUGGGGUAAAGGCCCACCAAGGCGACGAUCUGUAGCUGGUCUGGGAGGACGACCAGCCACACUGGAACGGAGCAACGGACCAGACUCCUACGGGAGGCAGCAGUGGGGAAUUUUGGACAAUGGGCGCAAGCCUGAUCCAGCAAGGCCGCGUGCAGGAUGAAGGCCUUCGGGUUGUAAACUGCUUUUGUACGGAACGAAACGGCCCUUUCUAAUACAGGGGGCUAAUGACGGUACCGUAAGAAUAAGCACCGGCUAACUACGUGCCAGCAGCCGCCGUAA
rnacentral:rRNA from 1 species